rnacentral:misc_RNA from 1 species
GAUGAAGAACGUAGCGAAAUGCGAUAAGUAAUGUGAAUUGCAGAAUUCAGUGAAUCAUCGAAUCUUUGAACGCACAUUGCGCCCGCCAGUAUUCUGGCGUGCAUGCCUGUUCGAGCGUCAUUUCAACCAUCAAGCCCCCGGCUUGUGUUGGGGACCUGCGGCUGCCGCAGGCCCUGAAAACCAGUGGCGGGCUCGCUAGUCACUCCGAGCGUAGUAAUACAUCUCGCUCAGGGCGUGCUGCGGGUUCCGGCCGUUAAAAAAGCCUUAUUUACCCAAGGUUGACCUCGGAUCAGGUAGGAAGACCCGCUGAACUUAAGCAUAUCAAUAAGGGAGGA